AUGCUGGGCUAGCACCUGCACUUCCAGGAACCUGAGGUCGGCUGCUGUGGGAAACACUGCCUUUUUGGCUUCAACAUUGUCUUCUGGGUGCUGGGAGCCCUGUUCCUGGCCAUUGGCCUCUGGGCCUGGGCUGAGAAGGGCGUUCUCUGCAACAUCUCAGCACUGACAGAUCUGGGAGGCCUUGAGCCCGUGUGGCUGUUGGAAGCGGUUGGAGGUGUGUCAGUGCUGGGCUUUGACAGCGGCACUGGGGCUCUGUGGGAGAACACCUUCCUGCGCAAGCUUUUCUCCGUGUUUCUCAGCCUCAUUUUCUUCCUGGAGCUGGCGACAGGGAUCCUGGCCUUCAUAUGCAAGGACUGGAUUCAAGACCAGCUCAGUUUCUUCCAUCAAUAACAAUGUCAGGAAUCUCUUUGCUCAGGAAUAGUGGUUUUGCUGUGGAGCCCGAGGGCCUAAUGGUUGGCCCCUCAAUCUGUAUUUCAACUGCACUGACUUGAACCUGAGCCAGGAGCACUGCGGGGUCCCCUUCUCCUGCUGCGCCAGGGACCCAGCAGAAGAUGUCCUCAAUACCCAGUGUGGCCACGAUAGCCAGCUCACACUGGGGCUGGAGCAGCAGGGCUCCAUCCGCACUAAAGGCUGCAUGGGGUCUUUGUGGGCAUCGCCCUUCUCCAGACCUUUGGUAUCUACCUGGCCCAGAACCUUGUGAGUGCCAUCAAGGCAGUGAAGGCCAGUUGGUGAGGUUGCCACACUGGUGCACAGGGAGCUACCAUCUCCACUCCUGUUGGGUGGUGGGCUCCCAAGGGGACCGGGAAUGGUACAGCUAAGAGGGCGCAGGCCAGGUGGGGUGGGAGGGGUCUGCCAUAUCCCCACCCAGGCUGGGACACACUUCUCUGUGCAUGACUGUGUGAGGCAGGCCUGGGGCCCGCUGUUGCCUGGGACACAGCUUCACGAAGCGGCUUCAGAGCUGUCUUCUCUACUAGCUGUGACCUUGACCCUGCCUGGAGCCCACUUGAGCCUCACCGGUGGCCUUAGACUCUAAAAUGGGCCCAAGAAUUUUCUCUCCCUUGCUUGCUUGCCUCUCCGGAUCAAACAUGGUGAUGGCUAGAAACUACUCAAACAAAACCUUAACCCUGUUCCUCCCCACCCCCCAAAAGAUAUUAUUUAUGUAUGUGUGU